rnacentral:tRNA from 1 species
AGCAGUGUGGCCUAAUACAAAGAGCAUGGGCCUGGAAGUCCAAGGAUCUGGGUUCUAAUCCUGACUCUGCUA